GAGAUCCAAUUGUGUAAUAUCCCUCGCUUUUAAAAAUUAUUAAUAAAGAUUUAUAUGUAAAUUGGAGGACCUAUAUGUAAAUAUAGAAAUUACAAGGACUAAACUGCUAAGUUGCAAAAAAAGAAAAAAAAAGGGAAAACCGAAAAUUCGGUAUUAUCCCACCGCCUCCCACGCACUCUGUUUCUUCCAGAAACAGAGAGAGCGGUGGGGCGUGAGGACAAGAAGGAGAGUGGUAGAAGAAGAGGAGGUGGCUGCAGCGAGGGCUGCAGCGAGAAGCUGUGGGGCGUGGGGAGAAGAAGAGAGGAAGAAGAGGGAGAAGAGAAGAAGAAGAAGAAGAAGAAGAGAAGAGGAUAGCUGCGGCAAGGCUGCAGCGAGGAGGUGUGUGGGGUUGGGGAGGAAAAGGGAAGAGGAGAAGAAGAGGGAAAAGAGAGGGAAGAGGGAGAGGAGCGAGAGGUGGCAGCAGCUAGGGCUGCAGCACCUCUGUUUCCUGCAGGUGGAAACAGAGGAGAGGUGUGGGGCGUUCGAAGAGGAGAAGAAGAAGAAGAGGAAGAGAAGAGGAAGAGGAAGCAGGGGAAGAGGUUGUGACACCUCUGUUUCCUGCAGACGAAACAGAGGAGAGGGUGUGGGUGACGUCGGGGAGAAGAAGGGGAGGAAGGAGAAGAAGAGAAGAAGAAGAAAGGAAGGAAAAGGAAGAGGAGAAGGGAAGAAAGUAGCUGCGGCUGCGGUUGUGGCAGCUGCAGCUGUGGCAGGGAAAGAAGAAGAGAAAGGAAGAAGGGAAGGAGAGGAAGAAGAGAAGGGGCUACGGCUGCGGCGAUGGCAGCUGCAGUUGGAAGAGAAGAAGGAGAGGAAGAUGAGCAGGGGAGGAAGAAAGGGCUGUGGCCGUGGCUGAGGCUGCGACUGCAGCAUGCAGCUGGGAAAGAAGAGAAGGAAAGGAAGAAGAAGAGAAAGGAAGAAGGGAAGGAGAGGAAGAAGAGAAGGGGCUACGGCUGCGGCGAUGGCAGCUGCAGUUGGAAGAGAAGAAGGAGAGGAAGAUGAGCAGGGGAGGAAGAAGAGGCUGCGAGUGUGGUGGCUGCGGCCGUGGCUGCGACUCCGGCGGCGGCUGCGACGUUGGCUGCGGUAGCUGCGGCAGCGGUGGUGGCUGCAGUAGCUGCAGUAGCUGCUUUUGGGAAAGAGAAAGAGUAGGAACGAGAGAAGGGAAGAAGGAAAUAGUGCAGUGGAAGGGGGCUGCGGUUGUGACCGCAGUUGCGGUCGUGGCUGCGAUUGUGGCAGCGGCAGCGACGGCGGCUGUGGCAGCUGUGUUUGGGAAAGAAAAAGAAGGAAUGAGAGUAAGAGAGAGCAGGUGACUGUGCCUCGAUGUUCGACACGUGGUGUAGUUGCGAAGAAAGGAAGAAAACGGGAGCACAAAACGAAACAGAGAGAGGACACGGAGGAAAAGUAGAAAGAUUGGAUUGGCACCUUCCUUGGAUAUUCAGAUCAAAAUAUUUGAAAGGUCAGCUUGUCACUCUUCGAGAUGUUUGAUUUGGGCUGAGGCAGUGGAUAGCUAUUCAGAAUAAUGGGCAAGUCUGGUUGGUUAUUACGAUAUUGUUGUAUAAGUAUGUCUUGUAUAUAAUGAAAUGUUGUCGAUGAACCGAAAUGGAUAUACUGUAUCCAAGUGUUAGAAGAUCUCUCUUAUUUGGAAUUUCGGAAUGUUAAGUCUAAUUUAUGACGAUAUGAACUGGUGGUGAAUAGUUGGAGUUCUGAUUGUAUAAUUUAUUUAGCUUGUGGAUUUAUAAAUGUUGUUCAUGUUUGUCAAGUUGGCUUGGGUUGCCAUAAAUGUGAAUUAUCGAGUGAUGUGAUAUAUGAUUUUAAAAUGCACAGGUGGUAUGGAUGUGAAUAUGAAUAGAAUGUUUUUCAGUGUCCUCAAACGUUAGUUUGGAUCCUGGAUUGGUUUGUGAUGAUUGUUUUAAAAAUCAUGGAUAUUUUGAGGGGCGUGACAGAGGUGGUAUCAGAGCAUUGUUUGAGGAUUACUGAAAUAUUUGAUAUGUUGACGUGCAAAAUAUAUUGAGGUCUAAUGAACUAUAGUGAUCGGUGGAAAUUUUCUUUGAUGCAUUUUAGGAAUCUGGGAUGACGAGGACAUUUGGUCCUCCUAUUUCAUUUGUUUCUGAUUAAUUAAGAGGAAUGAAAGGAUUGAUUGGGGAUAUUGAAUCAGAGUGGCGCAGCAGAAGCAUGAUGAACCUAAUUUCAUUGGUGGUAGAAAAAUGGAUGAUGCAAAUAGAGAAGAUAUUCUAUGUACAAAAUUGUUCUGAUGAUCAAAAGAUUUCUUUUGCUACCUUAUAUUGGAAGUAGAGGCUGAUUAUUAUUGGCAACAAUGAAAAGAAUUUUUGGAGAUAUGUGGCAAGAAUGAUAAGGAUAAGUUUAGCAAUAAAAAUAUGAUUGGAAAUGAAUCAGAAAGUGAUAACAAGAGGGUCAAGAUAUUUGGAUUUGAAAUGGGAAGUCAUCACAAAAGACUCAAUCACGUGUGAAUUAUAAGUUAAAUUAUGAAACAAAUUUGUGUUUCGGGUGAUUGGAGUCUAUUUUGCUUGUAGAAAGUUGGAUCAUAAAAUAAAAGACUGCCCUUUGAACAAUAAGAAAGAGUCACUGCCUCAUAAAUCAUCAGCCCAUGUCAGAGUGUAUACUAUCACUGAAUAUGAUUCUAAGACUUCUGAAUUAGUGGUCGAAGGUAUUAUGCAUGUUUAUGAAAGAAUGCAAAUAUUUGUUCGACCAUGGGUCCAAUCUACGAUUUGAUUCGUAAUAUUUUGCUUAUCACUUGGGUAUUCAACCUAGACCACUGUAUUAUGUGGUAUAUGUAAGUACAAUCAUUAGAGAUUCUUUGAUAACGAACUUGAAUCUGGUCCUCUUGUCUGAUUUUUAUUGGAGAACUUGAACUUUUGCUGAUUUAGUUCUCCUAGAGAUUUGGAGUUAUGAUAUUAUACUUGGUAUGGAUUGGCUAUCUUCUUAUCAUACCAGUAUGGAUUGGUAUAUAACCAAUGAUCACUUUUUGUAUAUUUGAUCAGCCGAUCUUUUAUUUUGAGAGUAUUGGGACAUGAUUUAUCUCUUUGCCUAAUGUAUCCCAGGAUGACUUGCUUGGAUUAUCUCCAAAUGUGAUCUUGCUUUUGAUUUGGUCCUUUGGACAAUCCUAAUAUCUAAGCCUCUCUACAGAAAGAUAUCAUUUGAGUAAGUGGAAUUGGAAAAGCAACUACAAGGAUUAUUAAAUGAGGAUUUUAUUUGGCUUAAUAUUUCAUCAUGGGGUGCUCCGGUGUUAGUUAAAAAGAUGUAUGGAACAUUGAGGCUUUGUAAUGAUUAUAGACAAUUGAAUUAGGUGACCAUAAAAAAAUGUGUAUUUCCUGAAGUAACGACUUGCUUGAUUAACUGUAGGGUGCGCAAGUAUUUUUAGAAACUUAUUGAAGGUCGGGUUACCGUCUAUUGAGGAUCAAGGAGGAGAAUAUUUCGGUCACUCGUGGAUAACUAUGUAAUUGUAUUGUAUUGAUGAAAUUAUUUGAGAGUAGGAGGAGGAAAUAGAGAUAUCAUAAUCCUCAUCUUUUCAUCGAUUGAGCUAUGAUCAAUUUAGAGGACUAAAUUUUCUUUUAAGGGGGGGAGAGUGUAAUAUCCCUCGCUUUUAAAAAUUAUUAAUAAAGAUUUAUAUGUAAAUUGGAGGACCUAUAUGUAAAUAUAGAAAUUACAAGGACUAAACUGCUAAGUUGCAAAAAAAGAAAAAAAAAGGGAAAACCGAAAAUUCGGUAUUAUCCCACCGCCUCCCACGCACUCUGUUUCUUCCAGAAACAGAGAGAGCGGUGGGGCGUGAGGACAAGAAGGAGAGUGGUAGAAGAAGAGGAGGUGGCUGCAGCGAGGGCUGCAGCGAGAAGCUGUGGGGCGUGGGGAGAAGAAGAGAGGAAGAAGAGGGAGAAGAGAAGAAGAAGAAGAAGAAGAAGAGAAGAGGAUAGCUGCGGCAAGGCUGCAGCGAGGAGGUGUGUGGGGUUGGGGAGGAAAAGGGAAGAGGAGAAGAAGAGGGAAAAGAGAGGGAAGAGGGAGAGGAGCGAGAGGUGGCAGCAGCUAGGGCUGCAGCACCUCUGUUUCCUGCAGGUGGAAACAGAGGAGAGGUGUGGGGCGUUCGAAGAGGAGAAGAAGAAGAAGAGGAAGAGAAGAGGAAGAGGAAGCAGGGGAAGAGGUUGUGACACCUCUGUUUCCUGCAGACGAAACAGAGGAGAGGGUGUGGGUGACGUCGGGGAGAAGAAGGGGAGGAAGGAGAAGAAGAGAAGAAGAAGAAAGGAAGGAAAAGGAAGAGGAGAAGGGAAGAAAGUAGCUGCGGCUGCGGUUGUGGCAGCUGCAGCUGUGGCAGGGAAAGAAGAAGAGAAAGGAAGAAGGGAAGGAGAGGAAGAAGAGAAGGGGCUACGGCUGCGGCGAUGGCAGCUGCAGUUGGAAGAGAAGAAGGAGAGGAAGAUGAGCAGGGGAGGAAGAAAGGGCUGUGGCCGUGGCUGAGGCUGCGACUGCAGCAUGCAGCUGGGAAAGAAGAGAAGGAAAGGAAGAAGAAGAGAAAGGAAGAAGGGAAGGAGAGGAAGAAGAGAAGGGGCUACGGCUGCGGCGAUGGCAGCUGCAGUUGGAAGAGAAGAAGGAGAGGAAGAUGAGCAGGGGAGGAAGAAGAGGCUGCGAGUGUGGUGGCUGCGGCCGUGGCUGCGACUCCGGCGGCGGCUGCGACGUUGGCUGCGGUAGCUGCGGCAGCGGUGGUGGCUGCAGUAGCUGCAGUAGCUGCUUUUGGGAAAGAGAAAGAGUAGGAACGAGAGAAGGGAAGAAGGAAAUAGUGCAGUGGAAGGGGGCUGCGGUUGUGACCGCAGUUGCGGUCGUGGCUGCGAUUGUGGCAGCGGCAGCGACGGCGGCUGUGGCAGCUGUGUUUGGGAAAGAAAAAGAAGGAAUGAGAGUAAGAGAGAGCAGGUGACUGUGCCUCGAUGUUCGACACGUGGUGUAGUUGCGAAGAAAGGAAGAAAACGGGAGCACAAAACGAAACAGAGAGAGGACACGGAGGAAAAGUAGAAAGAUUGGAUUGGCACCUUCCUUGGAUAUUCAGAUCAAAAUAUUUGAAAGGCAAGUUUCCCGCUUGUUUCGAUCCUUUCUAUUGCAAGUUCCCUGAUCGUUUCUCCUAUAAUUACUCUGAUAUGUCUUAUUGCAAGUGUUCUAACCUUUUCUAUUGCAAGCUUUCUAAUCUUUUCUCUUGCAAGUAUCCUGAUUUGUUCCUCACUGCCAUUUUUAUCUCUACAUUUGCUUUGAAUAUGAGGAACUUUGAAUCAUUCUAGCCUUGCAUUUGUUAUAUCUCCUGUUUAGACGUAACGAUUCGAAUCUGUGCAACUUCUGAGAUUCUGACCUUUUGAUACCGAGCUGCCUAUAAGUCUUUGUGGAAACUCUGAUUUGUUCAAAACUGAUUUCAUUGGAAACUAGACUCGUAGACCUUUCCUUGAUAUAUGGAUUGAAAGAUUUGGAAUCCAAACACCUGUCCAGUUAUCUGUUGAAUCUGACAUUAUGAAUUCUGCCAACAGAGAUUUUGUUAUACGACACUUGCUUACCAAAUUAUUUGUAACUCUCUCUGUUGGACAGUUCAAUUCAUAUGAAGCCUAUCUUAUCUGAAAGUAUUAUCCAAUGAUUAUUUCUGAGUAAAUUGGAGCACGAUUGAUAGUUUGAAAUCAUUUGUUCAAUGUGCCUUCUGUAUUCUGCCAGAAAUCGAGCUUUGGUCGAUUUCUCAUACUCUGGUUUCAUUCCUUUGGAAAUUGAUAUCCUUUAGCUUUCUCAUUCAAUUGAGCUUUAUAUUACUGCUUUGAAUUCUUGUAUGCUCUUGUCCUUAAAAUUAUUGCAUUCUUGAAAACUGUUGUGUAACGUUUAUGCUAUAUCGUAUUGACUCAUAUAGGCACAUGUAUAUCCUAUUGUUCCGCAUUUGCUUUUGAUAUGUGCCUAUUCCAGUUCCAUUCCUUUGGAUAUCUGAAUUUGUCUAACCUUCUUAUUGGAAUUGAGCUGAUUAUGAUUGCUUGGAAUCCCUGUACACUCUUGCUUUCAAUUCUUUCCUAAAAUGAAUACUUUUGUGAGAGAUUUGUUCCUUGCAUCAUUGUUUUGAAAAGGCACAUGUACGUUUGGUUGUUCCGCGUGUGCUUCCGUUAUAUGCUGCUUAUUGUUGAAACUGCCUUCUUGUACUCUGGUGUGUGGGAUAUUGUGAACCUUUGCCAGAAAUGGUAAAGGGAGUUGUGAACCUUUGCCAGAAAUGGUAAAGGGAGUUGUGAACCUUUGCCAGAAAUGGUAAAGGGAGUUGUGAACCUUUGCCAGAAAUGGUAAAGGGAGUUAUGCAUAGAGCCUGCGAUGCUCUGCCGGCCCCCUCUGACUUCACCUAGACGUGGGUGGAUGGAGCUCCCAGACGUGGGAGACUUUUGUCAGGUGGUCAUUCAGAAAUGGAUGAAUCACAUUCUGACUGAGAUCCCACUACACCUUCUGUAUGUUUGAUAUGAUAUCCAGAGCUUUGGUUAUGUGUUUCUGUACAUGCUUUGGAUAAGAUUGAUAUGUUUGCAACGUCAAAGACGACGUUUGAGCUUCUGUA